GACGAACGCUGGCGGCGUGCUUAACACAUGCAAGUCGAACGGUGAAGCUCCAGCUUGCUGGAGUGGAUCAGUGGCGAACGGGUGAGUAACACGUGAGCAACCUGCCCCUGACUCUGGAAUAAGCGCUGGAAACGGCGUCUAAUACUGGAUACGAGAAGGGUCCGCAUGGGCACUUUCUGGAAAGUUUUUCGGUUGGGGAUGGGCUCGCGGCCUAUCAGCUUGUUGGUGAGGUAAUGGCUCACCAAGGCGACGACGGGUAGCCGGCCUGAGAGGGCGACCGGCCACACUGGGACUGAGACACGGCCCAGACUCCUACGGGAGGCAGCGGUGGGGAAUAUUGCACAAUGGGCGGAAGCCUGAUGCAGCGACGCCGCGUGAGGGAUGACGGCCUUCGGGUUGUAAACCUCUUUCAGCAGGGAAGAAGCGAAAGUGACGGUACCUGCAGAAGAAGCACCGGCUAACUACGUG
rnacentral:rRNA from 1 species